CAGGUUGAUUUUUUUGUGCAGGUUGUUUGUGGAGACCAUUUUGAACCAGACUGUUUCGAGUAUGAUCUCCAAGCAAGAGUUUUAGGGGUAGAGCCACAUCUGAAACUGAAAGGAGAUGCAGUCCCUACUCUCUUUGUUCAUAGAAAGAGACAGGGAGAAGUGAAGAGAGAUGAGAGAAGGGAUCGCCUGAUAGAAAGGAAAAGAAAGCAGGUUAUCAACAGUGUCAUCAGCUCUCCAGCCACCACAAAAAGCAGGAAGUCAAAGAAGAAAUCAUCAGAUCAUGGCCCCAAGAAGAGAGGCUUGAAUUCCAACCAUGGAAACAUUGAAGUUUGCUCCAUUAGUAUUGGCGUGCAGACCGAAGACUGGUGUGUUGGUUGCGGCCACACAAAUCACCACCGCUGCAGUGGUCCUGAGGCAUCUCCUUUCACCACCUCGCUGGAUCAUGCCUACUGUUCACUGUCAGAGCAAAAGGAAGAGGUUUGCCGAUAUAUGUCAGGAUUAUGAAUCAUGUGACAGUGUUGUUGAUGAUUUGAAUAAAUCAACUGUUCUUAGCGACUCAUUUUC
rnacentral:lncRNA from 1 species